rnacentral:rRNA from 1 species
GUAGGGAAUCUUCCACAAUGGACGAAAGUCUGAUGGAGCAACGCCGCGUGAGUGAAGAAGGUCUUCGGAUCGUAAAACUCUGUUGUUAGAGAAGAACGUGCAUGAUAGUAACUGAUCAUGUAAUGACGGUAUCUAACCAGAAAGCCACGGCUAACUACGUGCCAGCAGCCGCGGUAAUACGUAGGUGGCAAGCGUUGUCCGGAUUUAUUGGGCGUAAAGGGAACGCAGGCGGUUUUUUAAGUCUGAUGUGAAAGCCUUCGGCUUAACCGAAGAAUAGCAUUGGAAACUGGAAGACUUGAGUGCAGAAGAGGAGGGUGGAAUUCCAUGUGUAGCGGUGAAAUGCGUAGAUAUCGGGAGGAAUACCAGUGGCGAAGGCGGUUCUCUGGUCUGUCUCUGACGCUGAGGAGCGAAAGCGUGGGUAGCGAACGGGAUUAGAAACCCGGGUAGUCC